rnacentral:RNase_MRP_RNA from 1 species
UUCCAUGCCCAGUCCACCAGAAACUGCUGUACAAAUUCUAAUUUCGUAAGACUGCCAUCUUGGCAGCCCGUAUUGUCGUGGUCCCUACACGG